rnacentral:rRNA from 1 species
AACGAACGCUGGCGGCAUGCCUAACACAUGCAAGUCGAACGAGACCUUCGGGUCUAGUGGCGCACGGGUGCGUAACGCGUGGGAACCUGCCCUUAGGUUCGGAAUAACUCCCCGAAAGGGGUGCUAAUACCGGAUAAUGUCUUCCCACCAAAGAUUUAUCGCCUUUGGAUGGGCCCGCGUUGGAUUCGCUAGUUGGUAGGGUAAAAGCCUACCAAGGCGACGAUCCAUAGCUGGUCUGAGAGGAUGAUCAGCAACACUGGGACUGAGACACGGCCCAGACUCCUACGGGAGGCAGCAGUGGGGAAUAUUGGACAAUGGGCGAAAGCCUGAUCCAGCAAUGCCGCGUGAGUGAUGAAGGCCUUAGGGUUGUAAAGCUCUUUUACCCGGGAUGAUAAUGACAGUACCGGGAGAAUAAGCUCCGGCUAACUCCGUG